rnacentral:rRNA from 1 species
UACGAAGGGGGCUAGCGUUGCUCGGAAUCACUGGGCGUAAAGGGUGCGUAGGCGGGUCUUUAAGUCAGGGGUGAAAUCCUGGAGCUCAACUCCAGAACUGCCUUUGAUACUGAGGAUCUUGAGUUCGGGAGAGGUGAGUGGAACUGCGAGUGUAGAGGUGAAAUUCGUAGAUAUUCGCAAGAACACCAGUGGCGAAGGCGCCUCACUGGCCCGGAACUGACGCUGAGGCUCGAAAGCGUGGGGAGCAAACAGG